GAUCGGCCCGCGUCUGAUUAGCUAGUUGGUGAGGUAAUGGCUCACCAAGGCGACGAUCAGUAGCUGGUCUGAGAGGAUGAUCAGCCACAUUGGGACUGAGACACGGCCCAAACUCCUACGGGAGGCAGCAGUGGGGAAUAUUGGACAAUGGGCGCAAGCCUGAUCCAGCCAUGCCGCGUGAGUGAUGAAGGCCCUAGGGUUGUAAAGCUCUUUUGUGCGGGAAGAUAAUGACGGUACCGCAAGAAUAAGCCCCGGCUAACUUCGUGCCAGCAGCCGCGGUAAUACGAAGGGGGCUAGCGUUGCUCGGAAUCACUGGGCGUAAAGGGCGCGCAGGCGGCCCUCCAAGUCGGGCGUGAAAGCCCCGGGCUCAACCCGGGAACGGCGCUCGAGACUGGCGGGCUCGAGUUCGGGAGAGGCGAGUGGAAUUCCCAGUGUAGAGGUGAAAUUCGUAGAUAUUGGGAAGAACACCGGUGGCGAAGGCGGCUCGCUGGACCGACACUGACGCUGAGGCGCGAAAGCGUGGGGAGCAAACAGGAUUAGAUACCCUGGUAGUCCACGCUGUAAACGAUGUGCGCUAGACGU
rnacentral:rRNA from 1 species